rnacentral:rRNA from 1 species
GCAACCCCAGGUCAGGCGGCCAC